AUUCUUACCUGGUACAGGGGACACCGUGAUUAUAAAGGCGGUUCCACUAGGAAGACACUCUACCAUUGAACAUUGAUUGGGCUGAUGCCUGCGAUAGCCACUAAUGUUAGUUGCUCGGGUACGUAAUAUCUUGGUGUGGGCACAUUCAAAUCAUUGUGAAUGAGUGUGCUAA